CAGCGUGGGAAUCUACCAGGGGUCACAGAUUAGGCCAGGGCUCUGGCACAGUCUGCGCGGUUCCGCAACAAUCAACCACUUGGAGUGACCCUAAAUCUGCAGUGGACGCCUGGCAUCUGGUGACAACUAUUAUUUCGGGGCUGGAGGGAUAGCUCAGCUGUUGAGAGCGCUGACUGCUCUUCGAGAGGUCCUGAGUUCAAUUCCCAGCAACCACACGGUGGCUCACGACCAUCUGUAAUGGGAUCUGAUCCCCUUUUCUGGUGUGUCUGAAGACAGCUACGGUAUACUCACAUACAUAAAACAAAUUUGAUAAAAUUUUUUUAAAAAGUAUAACUUUUUUUUAAAAAAUUGCUUUUUAAAUUUUGUUUUAUGUGUGUGGAUGUUUGCUUGCAUUUAUGUCUCCACCAUGUUUGUUUCUGGUGCCCAGGGAGGUCAGAGGGGUCACAGAGAAGCCUGUCUGUCUUAGGGUUUUACUGCUGUGAACAGAAACCAUAACCAAAGCAACGAUUAAAGGACAACAUUUAAUUGGGGCUGGCUUACAGGUUCAGAGGUUCAGUCCAUUAUCAUCAAGGCAAGAACAUGACAGGGGCUGGAGGAACUGCAAAUCCCACCUCUUGUUCUGAAGGCAGCUAGGACUAGGGUAUUAAAGCCCACGGCCACAGUGGCGCAUCUAUUCCAACAAGGCUAUACCUCCUAAUGGUGCCACUCCCUGGGCCAGACAUGUAUGAACCAUCACACUGUCUUGGAGAGAGAGAGAGAGAGAGAGAGAGAGAGAGAACACUCCUAGUAACUGCCAACCCUCUGUAAACAUGGAAAAGAGAAAGUGACGUGGGUUAAUUAAAGAACAUUUACACACUUUUACACACUGUCUUAGUCAGGGUUCUCUAGAGUCACAGAACUUAUGGAAUGUCUCUAUAUAUUAAGGGAAUUUAUUGACAUGACUCACAGCCUACAGUCCAACUAACCCAACAAUGGGCAGCUGUGAAUGGGAAUUCCAAGAAUCCAGCAGUUGCUCAGUCCCUCGGGCUAGUUGUUUCAGCAGGUCUUCUGUAGAAGAAGGUCCCAACAGAGGUGUGGGCUGUAAGUGCAAGCGGUUGAUGAGGAGUGAGUCUUGCUUCUUCCAGUGUUCUUAUGUAGGCCUCCAGUAUAAAGUGUGGCCCAGAUUAAAGGUGUGUGCCACCAAGCCUAAAUUUAAAACUUCCUUUGUCCCAGGCUGACCUUGAACUCAGAGAUCUGCUUGCUUCAUUCUCCCAUAUUAAGGGCGUGUACUACCUUGCCUGGGCCUAAGCUUUUCAUGGCCACAAUGCCUCAGGAUCUCCAUGACGAGGGAGAUCUAGGUCAAAAACCCAUUUUCUAGCCUCAAGAUCUGGAUCACAGGUGAGCCCUCCAUUUCUGGAUUGUGGUUCAUUCCAGAUGUAAUCAAGUUGACAAACAGGUCUAGCCAUCAUGAUCCACCCCGUGUCAAGUUGAUACAAAUCAUAUUUCAUGUCCAAAUGAAACAGUAAUAACCAGGUCAUAAAAUGCCUAAGGUAAUGUAACUAUCCCUUGGACAAUCACGUAUACAUUGUAGGUUUAGAAUAGGUCAGUGUCCCUUGGGAAUAUCCUUUUAGUAUUUCAAAUACUGAUUGAUGGUCUCUCGGUUGAUGUUAGAGAGAUUGUAAGAAAGCACGAAUAUCUGUACAAAUGUGUUCUUAACAAAUAAAACGGAAGCGUUCACACACAA